rnacentral:pre_miRNA from 1 species
AGUGGAAUUCCUGAGUCAUACGGUAACUUGUGUUUUGCCUUUUAAGGAACUAUCAGGCUGUUUUCCAAAGCAGCUGCACCAUUUUAUAUUCUCACUAGGAGU